rnacentral:rRNA from 1 species
AAUCUUGCGCAAUGGGCGAAAGCCUGACGCAGCCAUGCCGCGUGAAUGAUGAAGGUCUUAGGAUUGUAAAAUUCUUUCACCGGGGACGAUAAUGACGGUACCCGGAGAAGAAGCCCCGGCUAACUUCGUGCCAGCAGCCGCGGUAAUACGCAGGGGGCUAGCGUUGCUCGGAAUUACGGGGCGUAAAGGGCGCGUGGGCGGAUCGUGAAGUCAGAGGUGAAAUCCCAGAGCUCAACUCUGGAACUGCCUUUGAUACUGGGUGUCUUGAGUGUGAGAGAGGUAUGUGGAACUCCGAGUGUAGAGGUGAAAUUCGUAGAUAUUCGGAAGAACACCAGUGGCGAAGGCGACAUACUGGCUCAUUACUGACGCUGAGGCGCGAAAGCGUGGGGGGCAAACA